rnacentral:lncRNA from 1 species
AUAAUAAACAAAUAAAGGGACAAAGGAAAGGGGAGACUCUGAAGGACUUUAGGAUCAACACUCGACUAUAUUUUUUUGAUAGGCUUCCGUGUAGGGACUGACAAAACCAAGGUUUGUCGCUUUAAGCCUGAGUCGAUGUCAUCAUAUCCAUAGGGCCUAAACUACCCCUACCCCACCACCGCAUGCUUUUCGUCUCUAAAA